UCAAAACAUGAGAAACCAUGGAAACUCAUCUUUUAGAGUUAUGGUUCCUUUUAUGUUGUUUUUAUCUUGUAAACUCUUAGUUUAGAGUUGUUAUUUGAUGAAUGGAAAGUUUUAUGGGUUAUUCAUGAAAAACCCCAAAAACCCCCCAAAAUGAGAAUACGAGUAUAAAGAGAAAGAGAUGAAAUGUUAGAUGUGGAUAAUGGCUUUGAUGUUGUUAUAUGAGAUGAACAUAGUAAGUUGUUUAUGUGAUAUUUGGAAUAAAUGACUAACAUUGUUGUUAUUGGUGGAAAUGAGGAAAGAUCCUAAGGUUGGAGGAAAUCGCGGAGGAGACUUUUAAAGUUACUCGGAACCGAUCCCCAACGCUCACCAAGGUAAGGGAUAAGUGGCUCUAAUUCAUACUCACUUAUGUGAAUGAGGUAUGUGAAAGAGGUAACGUGUUGGUAAGUUUAUGGUUGUUACCCUACCCGAGGAGGUAGUGGUUUAUCAUUGUGUCCUACCCGGAGUGGUAGUGAACUAUUUAUCGUGUCCUACCCUGAGUGGUAGUGAACUGUUUAUUGUGUCCUACCCGGAGUGGUAGCGGACUGUUAUGGUGUCCUACCCGGAGUGGUAGUGGACUGUUAUUGUUAUCCUAC